GGGCCAGUAGCUCAGUCAGUAGAGCAUCCGUAUAGUAUAGGAAGGCCCUAGGUUUGACUCCUAGCCAGUCCA